UUCUUCGGAGGAUUUCCUAUUUGACUGAGCGGCGGACGGGUGAGUAACGCGUGGGUAACCUGCCUCAUACAGGGGGAUAACAGUUAGAAAUGACUGCUAAUACCGGCAUAAGACCACAGCACCGCAUGGUGCAUGGGUAAAAACUCCGGUGGUAUGAGAUGGAUCCGCGUCUGAUUAGUUAGUUGGUGGGGUAACGGCCUACCAAGGCGACGAUCAGUAGCCGACCUGAGCAGGGUGACCGGCCACAUUGGGACUGAGACACGGCCCAAACUCCUACGGGAGGCAGCAGUGGGGAAUAUUGCACAAUGGGGGAAACCCUGAUGCAGCGACGCCGCGUGAGCGAAGAAGUAUUUCGGUAUGUAAAGCUCUAUCAGCAGGGAAGAAAAUGACGGUACCUGACUAAGAAGCCCCGGCUAACUACGUGCCAGCAGCCGCGGUAAUACAUAGCGGGGCAAGCGUUAUCCGGAUUUACUGGGUGUAAAGGGAGCGUAGACGGAGCAGCAAGUCUGAUGUGAAAACCCGGGGCUCAACCCCGGGACUGCAUUGGACACUGUUGAUCUGGAGUGCCGGAGAGGUAAGCG
rnacentral:rRNA from 1 species